GAAAGUGAAGAAUCCAGAAUAAUCUCCUUCAAUGUCCAGAUCCGUUUCUAAUCUGGCUGGCUAGGCGGGUGUCCGCUUCCUCCUGCACCACUCCACGUGCGUGCCUCCUGAGGCUGCGCGCUCGCGCUCGCGCUCGCGCUCGAGGACGACCACCCCCGAUAGAGGAGGACCAUUUCCUCGCUGCGCUUCCCUGCUAGAACCUCCAAACAAGCGCUCAAGGCCUUUUAUCAUAUAUAAGGUAACAGAUAAAUGAAAACGGAUCUUUCAUGCUGGCACGUGGCCCCGCUUUCUGAA
rnacentral:snRNA from 1 species